UGUUAAAACAGCAGCCGUGUAAAUGGGCCAUGGGGUGGUAAAAGGUUGACAGGAUGAUUAUGCUUGAGGGGCCACUGUUAUGUAUGUCCUUUGGACAGUAGCUUGGAAGAGUUUCAGAGACACUAAUUAAUUCUGCCCCACAGUGAGGGGGUGGUAACCAGCUAGCUCAGUGGGAGGCUGUGCUGGAGAGCUCUGUCUCAGGUCAGAGGACCAGGAAAACACUUCAGGGGGAGAGUUUACGUUCAUCAUGGGCUGUGACAGUGAACUCGUGUGGUGAUGAUGGAAAAUAUCAAAAGGUAAAGAAUACUUAUAAAUCUGUUUAAAAUAUAGAAUCAUUUGACAUAUGGGUAUUAACCAGUUAAUAUAACCAACUCUUCAUGUCUAACUGUUAAUUCAUAUAUACU
rnacentral:lncRNA from 1 species